GAAAUGCGAUAAUUAAUGUGAAUUGCAGAAUUCAGUGAAUCAUCGAGUCUUUGAACGCACAUUGCGCCCCCUGGUAUUCCGGGGGGCAUGCCUGUCCGAGCGUCAUUGCUGCCCUCAAGCACGGCUUGUGUGUUGGGCUUCCGUCCCUGGCAACGGGGACGGGCCCAAAAGGCAGUGGCGGCACCAUGUCUGGUCCUCGAGCGUAUGGGGCUUUGUCACCCGCUCCCGUAGGUCCAGCUGGCAGCUAGCCUCGCAACCAAUCUUUUUAACCAGGUUGACCUCGGAUCAGGUAGGGACACCCGCUGAACUUAAGC
rnacentral:misc_RNA from 1 species